CUUACCUGGUCUUGACAUCCACAGAACUUUCCAGAGAUGGAUUGGUGCCUUCGGGAACUGUGAGACAGGUGCUGCAUGGCUGUCGUCAGCUCGUGUUGUGAAAUGUUGGGUUAAGUCCCGCAACGAGCGCAACCCUUAUCCUUUGUUGCCAGCGGUCCGGCCGGGAACUCAAAGGAGACUGCCAGUGAUAAACUGGAGGAAGGUGGGGAUGACGUCAAGUCAUCAUGGCCCUUACGACCAGGGCUACACACGUGCUACAAUGGCAUAUACAAAGAGAAGCGACCUCGCGAGAGCAAGCGGACCUCAUAAAGUAUGUCGUAGUCCGGAUUGGAGUCUGCAACUCGACUCCAUGAAGUCGGAAUCGCUAGUAAUCGUAGA
rnacentral:rRNA from 1 species